ACCACUUCCUUUCCUCUGUGCCUCCACCACAAACACUUAUGAAGGUUCAGUGUGAAGAUCUAGUCUGUCUCUUUCCAGCUGAUGGUCAUCAUGUUGCACCUGAACCAAGCCCUGCUCUCCAUUCAGCUCGUAGUUAUGUGUCAUGGCUUAGAAGUAGCUAACCACUGGAGUGAACUGGUGUUCAGGGGAAAGUCUGUCACGUUAACCUGCAACAGAUCCAUGAUAAACGCAACACAAGUCAACUGGACCAAAGGCAGAUUUCUUUUCUCUUAUAAAACUGCAAACAAUGGCACGGUUUCAAAUUUUACCUCCAACAGACAGAGAAUAGACGUUGACUUUCAUUCAAAGCUGAAUAUUUUUAAUGCUCAGCAUGAGGACGCAGGACUCUAUAGAUGUGACGUAUCUGAGAGAAGAGGGACCUGGGUGGAUGUGUGGAAUUUAACUGUGUCUGAGGAACGGGAAGAAAUCAACCCACCUUUCCGGUCGUUGUAUUUUCUAUACAUACGCAUACUCAUAACUGGGCUGCUUGUGUUUGGCAUCACAUUAGCUCUUUGCCUCUACAGAAAACGCUUGGCCAGGACCUGAAAAAACGCUGUGGCAACAGGAAAACCUGAGUUUCAUCUUCAGUUGGGAGAAGAGGAGAUGAUCUUUUUCAUUGUUUGAACUUUCAUGUUUUAGUUUCCUAUAGUCUCUACUAUUUCCUGCAUCUGUGUCUAUUCCAGUCCAUUUUUAUUUUCAGUCCCUGGUGGCAGGAUACAGACAAUCACAAGAUGCAGUCAACACUUACAUGAACCAAUUUAGACUCGGUUCAAUGUGUGACUUCUAGUAAGUAUGAAGUUCAGAUAAUAGCUGAAUAAGAAAAGGGAUAUUGACAGAAAGUAUACGAGAGUACACAUAUAAUUAUGCAUAAAAAAUAAAUAUUUUCUGAGAUAGAGGGUGUAUGAUACACAUUUUUUUGUAGUUAUGAAAAUAACCUGAGGCAUUGUUUAUAUUUUAAUUUCUUGGAACCUAAAACCUCAUGCUAGCUUACUGUACCUGCUUGGGUCUGUGACCAUAAAAUCCAUGUAAAAUAUACCAAAAUGCUAAUGUUAUAAAUGUUUUGAUAAGUGUAAAGGCUGUUGUUUUAUUUUUUUUUGCUUCUUUUGUGUUGUCUGUCUUUUGAAAACUGCAUAAAAUGUUUAAUGCAAUAAUAUGGCCAACAUUUAUGUAACUAUAUCUUAUAUAAAACAUUAAAACAUCA